UUGGUAAAACACCAAAUGCUGUCCACUUACACUGAACCCCGUUCAGCAGUAAGUCCACCCCAUUCUUAUAGUAACUGAAAGCUGCCUCAUAGUCCUCAUUGACCUCGCUGUCCAGGGCCAUGUGGAUCUGCUUGGCCGCCUCCACCAGGAUACAUCUCUGUCUGUUGUCACUGGGCUCAGUGUUCGUGUGCCCCCAGUGACUCCACUGCUUAGGUCUUGGCAGCAGAGCAUGAUCAUCUGAGCCAGCGGAAACAAAGAGUCAACGUCCAAACCAGCACAGGAACUUCAGAUCUGUGGUCGCUUGCUGCAUAUGUUGCACACGGUCAGCAGGGAAGGUGCUGUCGGGCAGGAACACGCUGCAAAGACACUCCAGUCCUGCGCCAGAUGUGGUUACAUUUCCCGAGUCCCAGUCCUCCACUGGCUGCAAGAAAACAGUGUUAUUUUUCUCAGAUAUUACAUGGAAGACAAUUUAAUAAAGGAUGGUGAAGAUAUAUUUAGAAGUUACGAGCCAAGCCAGUGCAGGGUUCAGCAUGGGAAGGAGAAGCAGCAGAGUCAGAGGCAUUAUGUCACUGCUGGUAGUUUGUCUGAUUGCUUUCUGAUCUGAUGUCUACUAUUGACAGUGGCUUUUAUACUUUUUAUUGGCCUAUCUUAAGCAUGUGACUUGAUUCCACAGUCCUAACAACUUUAUUAGCAUCCUUGAGAUCAGUGCAGAUGUGCAUAUGGUGGGAUCAGUACAGUUUUAUGAUUUCUGAUUGGGUUAUUUUUAGUUUACUUAGACAUUGACAAAACUUCAGCAUGAAAAUAGUAACUGUUCCCUGGAAAGAGGAACCUGAACCUGAUAAAAAUCGGGUAAUUUAACUUUUAAUUCAUUAAAAAAAUGUGUAGGUAGUGAGAAUGCAUUCAAUAUUAAAAACAGUGAAGUGCUUCAGAAUCAUCUAAUAUGACAAGGGGACCACAUUGGCACGCGUAAAACAGUAUUUUGAAGUGAAAUCGAGAUAUUUUUCUUCACACUCAAUGAUUUACGUUUUUCUCAUGCUACAGUAUGCAUCUCCUAUGUAGCACAAAAAUAGGAAGGAGGUCUCACCCAUUUUUAUCAUGCUGAGAGCCACAAUUUGGCCUGAGAUUAGUCACAAUACAACAGAAUGGCUUAGACAUCAGAGAGUCAGAUUUUCUUAAAUGAAUAUACUUCAACUCAGGUACAAAAGAGGAAAGUGCCAGCACCAUUCACUAGGCUGGUGAUAUUUGAUUUCUCUUCCCAGUCAGUUUGUGUUUUGAUUAGCUGGGGCUAUAGGGUAAUUGGUUCAAUAUUAAUCUUAAGCUUUCAGUACACCCUGGAGAUAAACCGAAAAUUGAAUACGAGUCUAACAAAGCAACCUAUUCUUGAAUCAUACUGCUCAUGUUAAUGUGUGGAAAAGCAAAUGAGCUUUUUUUUCUUCUCUGUCCAAGUUCUCUGUAAACUAAGGUUACAAGAAGCAUAGGGGAGUACCAGCAAAUUCAGUUCAUUUUGAUCUUGACACUGAAAAAAACAGUAAUUGUUUAUGCCUUUUUGCUGCAGUACUUGCACCUUUUGUAAGUGAUCGUAUGUAUCUUUAGCAUAUACAUUUGUUCUUUUGAUUCAGUUGUAAUUACAGGGUGUGAGCUCAUUAUUCAGUUGGUUUGAAAUCCUGUUUAACCUACUAUCCAAUGGCAAAUGUAUCUAUUUUAGGUUGACUAUAUACAGUAUGUAUUUGCCCUAUGUUUCAGUCAUAAAACAUAAAUUGACAUAGACACAGUAGUACCAAAACAUAAGUGUAUUGGCACUAUUAAAGGCUGCAGAUACAAAGAUUAUUCAGAGUAUUUACAUGUAAAAAGUAACCUUUCCAAUAGCUGGACUGAACUUGAGUAGCAAACUACGCUAUCAGUGAAUUUUGUAUUCAUUUAUCUAAUUAUAUAUUUUUUCUUUUGAUUCCAUAUUGGACUGAACACACUGGAAUUUACACUUUUUUAUUGAUUUAUUCUCUCGGUUAAUUGUUUCCUUGGGUCAUCUGGAACUAAUUUUUAACAGUACACUU